ACACUGCAGUCGAGCGACAGACCAGGCAGCUUGCUCCUUUGACGUUAGCUGGCGGACGGGUGAGUAACACGUGGGUAACCUACCUAUGCAACCGGGAUAACUUCGGGAAACCGGAUCUAAUACCGGAUAAGAUUCGAACCGCUGGUUUUGUGUGAAAGAUGGUUUUGCUAUCACUUAUGAUGGACCCGCGCCGGAUUAGCUGGUUGGUAAGGUAACGGCUUACCAGGCGACGAUGCGUAGCCCACCUGAGAGGGUGAUCGGCCACACAGGAACUGACACAGGUCCAGACCCCGACGGGAGGCAGCAUAUUGGGAAUCUUCCGCAUGGGCGAACGCCUGACCGAACAGCGCCGCGAGAGUGAUGAAGGUCUUCGGAUCGUAUAACUCUGGUUAUAAGGGAAGAACAUACUUGUAAGUAACUAUGCACGUCUUGACUGUGCGCUAAUCACAACGCCUCGGCUAACUACUGUGCCACGCUUCCGCGGUUAUACUGUAGUGUGGCAGAGCGUUAUCCGUGAAUUAUUCGGGCGUAUCAGCGCGCGUAGGCGUGUUUUUUAAGUCUGAUGUGAAAGCCCACGGCUCAACCUUGGAGGGUCAUUGGAAACUGGAAAACUUGAGUGCACAAUAAGAUAGUGGAAUUCCAUGUGUAGCGGUGAUAUGCGCAGAGAUAUGGAGGAACACCACUGGCGAACGCCACUUUAUGGUCUGUAACUGACGCUGAUGUGCGAACGCGUGAGGAUCAGACGGAACAGAUACCCUGGUUGUCCACGCCGUAUACUAUCAGUGCUGAGUGUUAGGGGGUUUCCGCCCCUCAGUGCUGCUCUAUGCACUAUGCACUCCCGCCCCGAGAGUACUGAC
rnacentral:rRNA from 1 species